rnacentral:rRNA from 1 species
AGGACGAACGCUAGCGGCGUGUUUGAAACAUGCAAGUCGAACGGAGCGGAGUAAUCCGCCAAGUGGCGAACGGGUGCGUAACACGUAAAGAACCCACCCUUUAGCGGGGGAUAGCCCUGGGAAACUGGGGGUAAUACCGCAUAAGCAGCAGUUUCGCAUGAGAAUUGCUGGAAAGGCACUGAGUAAUUGGUGUCACUGAAGGACGGCUUUGCGGCCUAUCAGGUAGUUGGUGGGGUAACGGCCUACCAAGCCAAUGACGGGUAGCUGGUCUGAGAGGACGAUCAGCCACACUGGGACUGAGAUACGGCCCAGACUCCUACGGGGGCAGCAGUUUAGAAUAUUGUGCAAUGGGCGAAAGCCUGACACAGCGACGCCGCGUGGGUGAUGAAGGCCUUCGGGUCGUAAAGCCCUGUUGGUAGGGAAGAGUAAGGACGGUACCUACCGAGGAAGCCCCGGCUAACUACGCGCCAGCAGCCGC